rnacentral:rRNA from 1 species
UACAGAGGGUGCAAGCGUUGUUCGGAAUCAUUGGGCGUAAAGCGUACGUAGGCGGCUCAUUAAGUCAGGUGUGAAAUCCCAGGGCUCAACCUUGGACGUGCACUUGAAACUGGCGAGCUUGAAUCUCGGAGAGGGUGGUGGAAUUCCCAGUGUAGAGGUGAAAUUCGUAGAUAUUGGGAGGAACACCGGUGGCGAAGGCGACCACCUGGACGAAGAUUGACGCUGAGGUACGAAAGCGUGGGGAUCAAACAGG